rnacentral:lncRNA from 1 species
CUACACGCACCUGCAAUCUACAAGCUGACCUCGAGGAGGCCAGCCACAACAUCUUCACCACACUCCAGGCUAAUGGGGGCUGCCUUCACCGACCUGGAAAACCUUCUAGACUCGGAGCCACUAUGGCAGAUCCGGGCACAUAUUUGUGUUGCCAACGCCUAGAUCAAAGAGCAGGUGCAUACCUGAUCAACAUACUCCCGGUCCACAACUACC